CCUACGGGUGGCAGCAGUGGGGAAUAUUGCGCAAUGGGCGAAAGCCUGACGCAGCGACGCCGCGGGAGGGAUGAAGGUCUUCGGAUCGUAAACCUCUGUCAGCAGGGAAGCACGGUCACUGUGCUAAUCAGCAGUGAAUUGACGGUACCUGCAAAGGAAGCACCGGCUAACUCCGUGCCAGCCGCCGCGGUAAUACGGAGGGUGCGAGCGAUAAUCGGAAUUACUGGGCGGAAAGCGCUCGUUGGCGGUAUGUCAAGUCAAGGGUGAAAUCCCCGUGCUCAACGUGGGAACUGCCUUUGAAACGGGCAAACUGGAGUGUGUGAGAGGAUAGUGGAAUUCCAGGUGUAGGAGUGAAAUGCGUAGAUAUCUGGAGGAACAUCAGUGGCGAAGGCGACUAUCUGGCACAUAACUGACACUGAGGCUCGAAAGUGUGGGUAUCAAACAGGAUUAGAUACCCUUGUAGUC
rnacentral:rRNA from 1 species